rnacentral:miRNA from 1 species
UGUAACAUAUUUAUUUAUAUAAUGUUUAUAUAAAUAUUGUAUAAAAUAUAAUAUUUAUAUAAUUUAUAUAAUUUAGUUAUA